AGCUCGGAUUUCGUCGGAGCUGCCAAGAACCAGGGGAGCUCCAUUUGGUUUCUCCAGUGAGAGAGCGCCCCUGCAGGACCGCACCCACCUCUGCUGUCACGGAGACUGCCAGCAUCUUAGCCCUCAGUCUAAAAAGAAGCAACUGAGGACAGAGGUCCACAAAAGCAUGACACCCUGCAGGGAGAGAGGCACUGCAUCUGCCAGGCAACUUGGAAAAGGCAUUUGGAGCUGACUGUCCAGGAAGGGCAUUGUAACAUCAAUCACAGAAGAAGUAAUUUGACGAGCCAAGGUCUUCAGGGAGAGAUAAUGUCUCAUUAAAUCAAGCACUAUACUUGAGGAAGAGAUGACAAA